rnacentral:rRNA from 1 species
GAUGAACGCUAGCGGCAGGCUUAAUACAUGCAAGUCAAGGGGGUAGCAAUACAACCGGCGCACGGGUGAGUAACGCGUACACAACAUACCAUAUACUGGGGUAUAGCUUUGGGAAACUGAAGGUAAUCCCCCAUAACAUUGCGAGAGGGCAUCUGAUUGCAAUUAAAGUUUCGGCGGUAUAUGAUUGGUGUGCGUUUGAUUAGCUAGUUGGUAGGGUAACGGCCUACCAAGGCGACGAUCAAUAGCUGGCGUGAGAGCGCGACCAGCCACACUGGAACUGAGACACGGUCCAGACUCCUACGGGAGGCAGCAGUAGGGAAUAUUGGACAAUGGGCGCAAGCCUGAUCCAGCCAUGCCGCGUGAUAGAUGAAGGCCCUCUGGGUUGUAAAUAUCUUUUAUCUGGGAAGAAACUCCUCUAUUCUUAGAGGCCUGACGGUACCAGAGGAAUAAGCACCGGCUAACUCCGUGCCAGCAGCCGCGGU